CCCUUCCCCGCCGUCCAGGACUCCUCAGCACGGUCCCCAGGCCGGCCUAGAAGCUCAUCGCCAUAUUAAGAAAGGAAAAGGCCUGAGCUAAAAAUAAGACCAGAUGAGUCCGAGGGCACGAGGGGCACGGACGCUGGACUGCCUCGUCGUCGUCGUCGUCGGAAAACCCGGGAAGCUCCUCCGGACGAGGUCUGUUUGCUCGAUCCCGCGGGCGGAGGGGGCCGUGGAAAGCAAGCGGGCUGCAGAAAGAGACCCCCUUGCACUUCCCUUCAGAGAGCCAGGACCAGGGAUGAGGUCAUCCUCUGAAUAAAAGACGGAGCCUCGUCCAGGACUGGCCACCUGGCUCAGCCCCAGCCAGUUUCCUGUGCUUCA